rnacentral:rRNA from 1 species
AGAGUUUGAUCCUGGCUCAGAUUGAACGCUGGCGGCAGGCCUAACACAUGCAAGUCGAACGGUAACAGGAAACAGCUUGCUGUUUCGCUGACGAGUGGCGGACGGGUGAGUAAUGUCUGGGAAACUGCCUGAUGGAGGGGGAUAACUACUGGAAACGGUAGCUAAUACCGCAUAACGUCGCAAGACCAAAGAGGGGGACCCUCGGGCCUCUUGCCAUCGGAUGUGCCCAGAUGGGAUUAGCUUGUUGGUGGGGUAACGGCUCACCAAGGCGACGAUCCCUAGCUGGUCUGAGAGGAUGACCAGCCACACUGGAACUGAGACACGGUCCAGACUCCUACGGGAGGCAGCAGUGGGGAAUAUUGCACAAUGGGCGCAAGCCUGAUGCAGCCAUGCCGCGUGUAUGAAGAAGGCCUUCGGGUUGUAAAGUACUUUCAGCGGGGAGGAAGGGAGUAAAGUUAAUACCUUUGCUCAUUGACGUUACCCGCAGAAGAAGCACCGGCUAACUCCGUGCCAGCAGCCGCGGUAAUAC